rnacentral:lncRNA from 1 species
AGUUUCAAACAACCAUGGAGGAUGCCUGAAUCAGCCCUGUCAGGGAUUUGUAAGGUGGCCCUGUCUGGUCCCCCUUCAGUCCACUCAGUCAUUAGAGUCUUCCAGACCUUUCCCAGCUCCAGGGACAGGGAGCGGGGGACCCAGAAUGAGAGGAGAAGCCCCUGGGAUGUUUCUGUCAAGUGAAGGAGAGAUUCCACGACAGAGAGCUCGAGAGCCAGCAGGCGCCAGACAAGAAGAGGUUGAGGUAGAGUGGGACUGGCCCCUACAUCCAGGGCAUGAGCAGGGGCCACCCAGGCAGACAGCACCCCCCACCUCAGGACCCAGGCCCUGCCCAUGCCCAACCCUGCCUCCCAGAGGAAGGGCCACGGCUUCAUCCAGACAAGCUCCCACACAGCUUCAGGGCGGGACACUAGAGUCUGCACAGCAAUCCUUUCUGCAGCUGGAGCAGGAGAACCACAGUCUGAAAAGGCAGAACCAGGACCUUCGGGAGCAGCUGGGGGCCCUCCUGGGGCCAGGGCAGCAGUUCCUGCCUCUAUGUUCUGAGCACUCAAGCUGUACAGCGCUGGCCUGGUCCCCCGAGUCAGCCAGGACACGGCUCCUGGAAGACAGGGCACCUGUGCAGCUGUUAAGGCAGCAGGAGCUCUGCCCAGGGAAAGAGUCUUUUGUGCGGCAGUCCCAGGUGGGCCCUGGGGAGAGGGGUUUGGCCUGGGGAGCAGAGAGCAGGUUCCUGCGCCCACACUCCUCCUUCCCACCCAGAGUGAGCUGCAACAGAUCCGAUUGUCCUUUGAGAGGAAGAAGAUGGC